GGCGGAGCCGCCUUAAAAUGGCGGGCAUGUUUUCCUGAGGGGAGAAAUUCCCUGAGCGGAUGAGGCCGUUUGCGUCCAUUCGCUUUUCCACCCUCACGGUUACAGCCUUGGGCAGUUUAGUAAACCCCAUCGUCAGAAUAGAAUAAUAAUAAUAAUAAUAAUAAUAAUAAUAAUAAUAAUAAUAAUAUAUUUAUACCCCAGCCACUCUGGGCUGCUCCCAGUAGAAGAAUUAAAAAAUGUGAUAAAAUAUCAAACUUUAAAAACUUCCCUAAACAGGGCUGCCUGUUAAUGGGCAUGGUUAAUUUCGCCUCAUUCCUCCUCAUGGUGAGAAUAAUUAAGUUACAUCACAUUACAUUUCUACCGAGCCUUUUCUGUAAGGGACUGAAAGGGACCUACUCAGUUCUCCUCCCGCCACUUAAAUUUCAACAACAACCCUGUGCGGCGGGUUAGGCUGAGAGACUGUGGCUGGUAUUUUGCCAGCCUUGCAUUUCCCUGCAAAAAUCAAGGCCUCCGAGGUGGCAGGCAAUGAUAAUAAAGCAAGCUAUUGAGAGAAAAAAAGAGGUGGUGGGGAAAACGGAACUAAAAAUUAACGUAUAAAUCAAGACAGUCAUUCAUAAAUUUAUAAAUCCAAGGCAGUGCACAAAACCAAAGCGACUAUAAGCCAGAGGCAGCAGUUCUGGUCUAUUUAAAUAAAGAAGGAAUCCAUUAACAGGCAAUCUCUUUAUUAGGAGCAUCUGAAAAUAAGUUUUCCAAGUUCAUUGGAUCCUGUUAGGCAAACAGAGUUCAAAAGGGAAUGAAUUGAAGACUGUGAUUUGGUCCCCUGGCAGAGAUGGUUUUAGGAGUGAUCUUGUCCCAACCCAUCAGGAUUAACUUGAGAACUGGAUCUGUUGUUGAAAAAUGGAAGCAGGAGACUGAUAUUGCAGCUAGCUGUCCGGCUCAGAGGAGACUGGAAUAGACAAAACGCUGUCAUUUUUUACUUGAUUAGUAUCUUGAUUUGGGUGGCAUGCCAGAGCCGUUAUCAAUUAUUAAAUAAAGAAGAGAAAUAAAUUGACAGAGAUAUACACAACACCGCUUUCCCAUAUAAAUACAGCUGUAAUGUAUCAUCUUUUGACAUUUUAAUGACAACUCUGUUGCACUUUAUGUCAUCUACGUAUUACAGAAGUUCCCCUCCCAACCUCUCUCCAUCAGGCAAGACUAAUGCCUUUCAUCACAUACGGAAAAUUAAAAUAACCAAAUGCAGCUAGUCUCCAGAAACAUGUUGCCAACAGCAAAAGGAACUGCUCUGAGAGGCAUAAAAACAUAGUUUAUGCUGACAAACCUCUAAGCAUGCCGGUGAAAACUAUGAUGCAGUCACCCAUCACGAGGAUGAAGCUUACAGAAGCAAGUUGAUAGAUUUAUUUGCUGAUCACUCAAGAAAAGGAAGGAAUGAACUGUGUCAUCCUGCUUGCAUUUUUACAGAAGGCGUUUGCUCAUGCAGAAAGAUGAUCGGCAUUACACCAAGGUGCUCUGAGCUUUUUUGUUUUGGUUUUUUUGCAGACUCCUGGUUGAACUGGCAAAGGCACAUGAAGGUCAAAUGACUUGCCAGAGGUUAUCCAUUGAUCUGAGUGUUUUUGGCAGGAUGGCAGCCAAAUCUUCAUGCUCAUCCUGGUGCAUUGCCCAUCAGCUGUCAGUGCAGGAUUCUGUUGUCUUCAGUCUGUAUUUCAUUUGUAAAACAAAAUGGGCUUCACACCAUUUGGUAAUAAUUUAAUAGACUGCACAUUAAAAAUCCAGAGGGCAUGUGUAUGAUUGCUUUACAGCACAUCAGCAAAAUGCCACUAUCAUGCACAGGAAAUGCAGUGUUUGGAGUAAAGCUGAGAUUCAACACAUUCAUUCAAGCAUCAAUCUCAAGCAGAGGCAAGGCAGAACAAGCAGAGGCAAGGCAGUACCCUGGACAGCUCCACGCAGGGCUCAAGCACUGCUCAGAUGUUGCUUCAGCACCAGUUAUUUAGAUUGCAGCUCCCUCUCAGUAGCUAGCUCUGCCUUUACUUCAAGGGGCCUAGAUUUCUCUGGCAACCUUUGAAUCUGACAAGGAUUUUCUUGUGGUCUUUACUUUUGUGAGUCAGCUUUUAUUAUUGUUCAGCACUGAUGUCGAGCAAUGCAAAUGCAAAACAGGAAGAGCUUUGCGGUAAAGAUAUUGCUGUUUUCUCAAAGUACAAAGGUGUCUGUCGGCCUGCAGCCCUGAUGUUUUCUCCUCCCGACCUGCCUCAAUAAUGCAAACUAGCAGCAGUGGAAUUUAUUCUCCUGAGACCGUAAUCUUCAUUUACCUGCUACCAAGAGGAAAAGCACCACACUGGAAUCCAUUGCACUUCAUAAUGAAGACAGAUGGUUUACCUGGCAGCUCCCCUUCGCGCCUUCUGUCUCAGGGCAAGCAGAUUGAAAGGGAGGAGGGGCAGAACCAGGGGGUCACAUGGAACCCACAGUCGGACCGAAGAUCCACAGAGGAUGGCGCCCUGGAGGAGCAAAAAGAAAAUAAAGAGAAGAAAAAAGAACUUACCAAAAAUAAAGGUAACCAUGAACCAUUGUUCUGACACAGGCAGCCUCAGACUAUUCUCACAUGCUUCUUCUUUUCAAGCAACCUGUCUGCUUUCAAGAGCAGGCAAUCUGCUCUUCUCUCUGUGUGUAGGAGGAGGAAGCAUGCUUCGAAACCGUCUAAAUGCAGCUGCUUAUAUAAAACUCAAAACAUGUAGUUUAAAGACUUUGACAAAAGUGACGUAAGUGGAGCAGCAGCUGUUCCCUGAGAGAGGGGGAAGUGAACCCCAAAAUGUCCCAGUUGACCAACUGCCAGGGGACCCUUGUUCCUUUAGCUGCCACAAAAAAUGUGAAAUUCUCCUGCCUUUUCCUCCAUUUCCCACUUCGUUUGCAUUUGCUGGGCCCUGGGGUCAUAUGGAAACCUACGCCUGGAAGGUGGAGCUGGAGACAGAUGCAGAGCAAAGUUUCAAGAAGGUGGAGACCCUCUGAAGCAGAAUCAGUUCUGCUCAGUUGAUUAGGCAUUAGCAUCUGGCCUGGCCCAUCCUCCAAUUGCACCCCACUGAAUUCCCUCUGUGCCUGAAGAGGACCCUGAAGCCUGACCAGUUCUGCAAGUUUCCAAGCUCCAGGAAUGAAACUUCAUGCUAGACAGUGAGUAAAACGACUGUUAUUUUCAGGGCAUGACUUGAACAUCUUCAACUGUCAUGGCUUUGCUCAGGGAGUCUGUCAGAGUCUUAAUCUGAGACAGGCUGUUUUUUUUGGGGGGGGCGGUGUUGGCUGAAACACUGAGGUCAGACUCAAAAGGCUAAAAGGUUUCUCAAGAAGUCAAAGUGGAAACACACAGAUAUCCCUCCUCACAAAAAGCAUAAAGUGCACCUCCAGAAAGAAAGAGUCACACCUCUGUCCUGCGCAUGGGCCUCCACCAUAGGCAUCAAGUUGGUCACUGUGCGAAGAGGGUGCUGGACUAGAUAGGUAUUUAGCAGAACUCUUCUUAGAACACCUUUGCAUAAGAUUUGCUUACAGUAUGCUGAUUUAUAAGAGUAGAUAGGGAACAAGACUGUGACCAUGUCUCAGCUAGAUUGGUAAAGAAAAAGGGUUUUAUAUGUGUUGUAUGUGCGAUAUAACACUUUUGACACCAGAUGGCGCUGUGGAGCCCCGUCUUUCCCUACUGGAUUUCCCUAUAUGAGUUCGCAACGUGUAACUGAAUCACUCCUUUGACGUGUCUAGAUCCAGCCCUGGUGGUCUGUGUGCCUGCUUAGUCUGAUGUCAGGUGCUAAUUAAAUGGGAAACUCCUGCUCUCCCUUCUUAGGGCUUUUUAAAAUCUUUAAACUGGGCAGCCUUCAAAUUUCUUUUUCUUCAAAAUAGUAUUACGUAGUAGGACCAGGAGGCGGGGGGCAGCUGCUACCUUUCUGCAUAUCACUGAAUCUGUUAUUCAGGUUGAGAACUUCCAAGAUGCUGAAGCAGGUGUAUUCCUAAUCCUUUGCUCUGGAUAACAACCUUCCCAUGGGGACUUUCUUCAAGGGCACCUCUCUCUUAGACCUCAGCAGCUGGCCUGCUUUGAUUCUCCUCUAUACUUUCAACAAUCACUCUUCACAGCCACCGUUCUCUGUUACCUGUUCGGAGUGCUUCAGAGGGAAGAAGGUCUCACUUAUGCUCACACUCAACAAGAGAGCAUGAACAGGAAGGUAGCCUGAGAACAUAAGAUGAGCCUGCUGGAUCAGGCCAAUGGCCCAUCUAGUCCAGCAUCCUGUUUUCACAGUGGCCAACCAGAUGCCUGUGGGAAUUACUAAUAGCUUCCUCUUACAUUUCCCCCGUGGUGGCUUGUACCUGCGCAACUGGCAGGGUGGAAAGCGGAGACGGGUGGGUAGUCAAAGCCAGAGCCAGUAAUGGGCGGAGCCACCGCCUGGCUGCUUGUAAGGAGGCAGGCAGGUGGGGACUAACUGGGAGCUUUUUGAGAUGGGUGGGGCAAUGCCCAGUUCACCCUAAUGAACAAGUCUCCACUGCCGUUUCCUAUGCUCAUUCAUGUGCUUAAUCUCCACCACACAUGGUCCUGACUCUGCACCUUUGGUCUGAAAUGUACAGAUGAAGACCUUGUUUUUUUGCUUGAGCAAAAAAACUCUGCGUAAAAUCAGCCACAGUGUGUUUGAAAGGGGGACUGCGUUUUAUUUUGUUUCCUUUGGUCUCAGCGCCUAAAUCUAAUAUAUGUUAUUUGAUUUGGAUCCUUUGGAUUAGUAAAAGGGGAUUGGCUAUAAAGGAGGCCAGCAUCAUUAUUCAGUGUUAUUAAUGAUGUUGUCAACCCUUAGAUUUCCCCAAACUAGAAAACUCAUAAAUUUUACUUAUGGGGGAGUGGGUGGAAUCUCAGAAUGAUCUAACAAAUAUAUAAAUUCUUUAAAGUAUUUAAUAUGUGUUAAGAGGACAGCAUGAUAAAUUCAAUAUUGAAAACCAAUAUCAGGUUUACAAUUAUUUGCCAUUUAUCAUCCCUGAUUGCACAGACAGUAUCUUAUUGAAAAGAAUAAAGUGAUUCAUAAAGAGAGUUCUAUUACAGAAGAAAGGAACCAAAAAGAGAGAGGGGAGGAACAGUCAAAAAUAUCUUGUUUUCCUCUCCUACCAUUAUUGUCAGCUGCUAUUUGCUCUUUUGAGAAAGGAACCGUGUGAGCUUAAUCGCCUGCACUUUGAUAUUAGAGAUACGAUAAAUUUAUAAAGGGAGGAACCAUCUCAUUUUCUGAACAGCAUUCUGACAGCACAUUUUUCUUUAAAUAUCUGAUUUUCUACUUACAGAGGAAAACAGACAACUCUGUGCCAUCUUUGUCUUUACAAGCUUGAGUUCUUUGAAGUUUAGUACAUUUGUGGGGGGCCUUGUUUCCCUUCCCAUGAGUUUGUCAUUCUGUUACUGGUGGAAUAUGUGGAAGAAACCAAACUCCAGCAGUUAAAUUGCACAUGAUAAGACAGGAGAGGGUACCAUUGGGGGAGGGCAGGGCACCCCAUCCUUGUGUUUCAGAGACCACAUCUGGUAAUUUCUGGAGUACAGCUAUUGCCUACUGUCUCACUGGUCUACACUUUGGAUGAAUGCUAACAAUGGCAUUGGCCUAUGCACCAGGCAUGUAUGCCAAAGGUGUAAACCCCUUCCCUUCAUAUAUUAAGAUUUGCAGAGGGGGCUUUGUGUAUGUAAUGGUGCCCAGGAGAGGACUUUCUCUGUGGCACCCCUUAAACUGUCAAACUUCCUCCUCACAGUGCUGUGUCUAGCAGCUUUCAACACGUUGUUUGCUAUGUGUUGGGGUGCCAGAGUUUUGUGGGUGCAAGGCACCCAUAAUCCUUAGAAUUCAUAAAAGUCAGAAUUAAUCAAGGUUUGAUUAAACGGUGCCAAGCACAGAAAUUCCUGGGUUUAGCUUCUGCUAACGAGCCAGACUAGCCUGGCAGGAAUAGCUGAGUGCAAGCCAUUCAGAGACAAAGACCAGUGAUGCCCAUCAAGGAAACCCCCAAGAGUGAGUGAAGACUGCCAGACCAGGAGGGGAGGGGCCCCUCUUCCAGCUGUGUGUUGCUUGGUAUUUCAGACAAACAGGAAAAAGUGUCAGUUUUGCAAGUGGUUUGGCAAGCAGAGAAGUGGAGGGCAGAACAUGAUGUAGGCUGGUUGUGACUGGCUGGAACAAAAGAGCCACAGAGCAUGGCUUUUUGCUGUUCUUUGAAUCCAGUGCUAUGCUUACAGAGGAGGGCAAACCCCUUUGAAAUGCGUAUGUUCUGAACUCUCCCCAUCUAGGUUCAGGUUAUCUAUCUGUGUAAAUAAACCAUGUAUCCUAAAGAUACCAGUGUUUUUGCUGUGCCUUAUUCCCAAAAGGAAACACAGGCCCUGGGUAAGCACCCUGAACCCCUGAAGUCUCUUGCACCACCCUUUGGAGAUUGGGGUGGCGUAUAACAAUAUGCUGAACAGAGAAAGGGGCACAACAUGGCUCCUUCUAUUGGCUAGAGAAGGAGCAGCUGCAAAGAGCUUAAUUCUUCCUAUCCCACCUGCCUGCCUGACCACUCAAUUACCUCUGGCUGUUGCCCUGGGACUGCAGAAACAAUACACAAAUAAAUAAUGCACCCUGCCAUAGUCCCUAUUCAAAGGUAGUGGGCUGUUAGGAAGGUCCCCCUGUGAGAGCAGGACUCAGUUCUGUAUUCCAGGUGAGAGCAGGCUACAAUUUGGGGCAUGAUUUAUUGGUCCUGAAAGAAGUGAUUCUGCGCAGGUGAGAUCUGGGCUCACAAGCAGGAUGUGUUUGGGGACAGUGAAUAAUUGCGUGUAAUUUUUUUUGCUGCAGUUAAUAUGUUUUGCUCUUUGGCAGUUUAAAUUAGGGUUAUCAGCUCUAACACUCCUGGUACUGCAGGCCUUUAAAUAGGAAAUUGAUUUGAAACCUUUUGAAACCUUUUCUGUCUUAAUUCUGCUAUUAGCAAGCGUUCUAUCAUUUGUUGGUUAGUGCAUGUCUCUAUGGCAGUGUGGAUGGGCGCCCCAGUUGUCAGCGUAAGUGGCAGGGUAUGUUACAGUGAUGGGAGGAUGAUGUUCUGAAUAGAUACUUAAGAACUGUCCCGUCUCUCAUCUAAGGGAACCUCAGUUGACCUGUCAAUGGACCACUGAAAUUGCUGGUGCUAAAUGCCAGGUCAGUGAAAGGGAAAUGUAGCUUCCAGGACAUGUUCCUAAUCAGGGGACCAACCUGUUCUACAUAAUUAAGAUAUGGUACAGUGAGACUGGCAGGUAGGCUCGUCCCCUGACAUUUUGCUGACUGAGGUGAACGACAGGAUGGCAUCCACUUCCACA